rnacentral:rRNA from 1 species
UCAAGUCAGCAUGACCUUUAUAUCCAGGGCUACACACACGCUACAAUGGUCUGUACAAUGGGUAGCCAAGCCGCGAGGCGGAGCCAAUCCUGAAAGCAGGCCUCAGUUCAGAUUGCAGUCUGCAACUCGACUGCAUGAAGCCGGAGUUGCUAGUAACCGCAGGCCAGCAAUACUCGCGGUCGAAUACGUUCCCGGGUCCUU